CUUUGAGCCGUCUGAAUGUUCUUUCUAAUUUUAACUAUUUUAGACGUUGUCUCCUCCACCAACUCCGGGCCGAACAAUUUUCUGUCGCCCACUUCUUCCCAACAAAUCGGUGAUAUGCAUGGGCGCCCAUAUAAUGCCUCAUACGGAGCCAUGCCAAUGCUCGCUUGGUAACUAUUGUUGUAGGUAAAUUCUAUCAGGGGU
rnacentral:lncRNA from 1 species